UCCGAACACAAAGCCGCGUCAGACCGAACCCAUUAUCCGACCCACAUUGCUUGACGAACCAAAUCGUCACGUCAAUGUGUGAUGUGAGCGUCGGAAACCCUCCCCUGCGCUGCGUCCAUCUUUCGUUCAAUCUGUUGCUCGCCGCCACCACUUCUUUUGGGAGGACGAUAACGAGCUUAUCGAGAUCGAUCCCAUAAAUCCGACCAUCGAAGAAGAGCAGAGGAGGACGAGCGAGCGAGAAGAAAGAUGCGACCAGGGGCGCGUUCGCCGCGGCGGCCGUGUCUUCCUUUCGCCGCCUCAAACCCAUCGUCCGAUGCUCCUCCUCCUCGCCUUCCACUGCCGUCUCCACCACCAUCCCCACCUCCACCUCCUUCGGUGCCUUUGUACGUAGCAACGAAGAUGGCAUCCAUCAGGAGAUCAUCGUUCUUAGUCCCAUCGCCGGAGACUUAUGCUCGAGCAGCUCUACGAUGGAUUGGCUAUGAACCGAGAUGCACGCCUUACUGGCCACAUUCCCUUGUAUGGUGUCUGCUCUCAGUGAUACCUGAGUUUGUCAUCGAUCAAUGGCGCUUGAGCUUCUGCAUGAACAUUCGAAAGAGGGGGCAGCUCAAAGAUGCCCAAAAAACGCUGCAGUAGUGCUCAGAAUCAAAUGUGAGUUGCACUUUCUUCUGCAAUCAGUGCUGUUGUCUACUUAAGAAACAUAAAUGUUUUUUGUUUUCUAUCUUUAGAAUAAAUGUAGAUGGAGAUGAAGGCUACAGUGCUUGAUUUGACAAUUUGGAUCUGUACUUGUAUAAUUAGGAAUGAAAAGAUGGAUUAAGUAUGCA